GACGAACGCUGGCGGCGUGCUUAACACAUGCAAGUCGAACGGAAAGGCCCUGCUUUUGUGGGGUGCUCGAGUGGCGAACGGGUGAGUAACACGUGAGUAACCUGCCCUUGACUUUGGGAUAACUUCAGGAAACUGGGGCUAAUACCGGAUAGGAUCUCCUGCUGCAUGGUGGGGGUUGGAAAGUUUCGGCGGUUGGGGAUGGACUCGCGGCUUAUCAGCUUGUUGGUGGGGUAGUGGCUUACCAAGGCUGUGACGGGUCGCCGGCCUGAGAGGGUGACCGGCCACAUUGGGACUGAGAUACGGCCCAGACUCCUACGGGAGGCAGCAGUGGGGAAUAUUGCACAAUGGGCGGAAGCCUGAUGCAGCAACGCCGCGUGCGGGAUGACGGCCUUCGGGUUGUAAACCGCUUUCGCCUGUGACGAAGCGUGAGUGACGGUAAUGGGUAAAGAAGCACCGGCUAACUACGUG
rnacentral:rRNA from 1 species